rnacentral:misc_RNA from 1 species
AAGUCGUAACAAGGUUUCCGUAGGUGAACCUGCGGAAGGAUCAUUAACACGUAUCCAACGUUAAAAACACCCCUGUGAACCUUUCGGCUCAUGGAAGCGUAAGGAGACGCUGUAACGUUUUGCUGUAGGCCCACACGGCCGGCAAUCCAAGUGGUUGUACUUCGGUACCCUCACAUCGGCACACCACCGAUGAUAUGUCGAUUUCGCGAAUGGACUAAAAGCCUCGCACCAAAAACCGAACAACUGUUAACAAUGGAUAUCUUGGUUCUC